rnacentral:rRNA from 1 species
GACGAACCGAGCGAACGUUGUUCGGAAUCACUGGGCUUAAAGGGCGCGUAGGCGGGCUGCCGCGUCCGGGGUGAAAUCCUCCCGCUCAACGGGAGAACGGCCUCGGAUACGGGCGGCCUCGAGGGGGGUAGGGGCAUCUGGAACUGUGAGUGGAGCGGUGAAAUGCGUUGAUAUUCACAGGAACUCCGGUGGCGAAGGCGAGGUGCUGGACCCCAUCUGACGCUGAGGCGCGAAAGCCAGGGGAGCGAAAGGG